GCCCCUGUGGUGGAAUUGGUAGACGCGCUGGAUUCAAAAUCCAGUAUCCUUUGGAUGUGUCGGUUCGAGUCCGACCGGGGGCACCA
rnacentral:tRNA from 2 species